UUUUAAGUUAAAUUUUAAAAUAAUUUUGCAAAUUAUUUUUUUUCUUAAAGU
rnacentral:tRNA from 2 species